rnacentral:rRNA from 1 species
GAGAGUUAAACAGUACGUGAAAUUGUUGAAAGGGAAACGAUUGAAGCCAGUCGUACCUUCGGGUAAUCAGCCUUUCGGGUGCGAUUCUGUGGAGUGUGAGGAGCUUAAACACCUUCAUGUUUUGCAUAUUCGUACUCUUGGGUGUACUUGCCCGUGUGGUUGGUUAACAUCAAUUUUGGUGGUCAUAAAAUGACUGGAGGAAUGUAGCUUCGAUCUCGUAUUGAAGUGUUAUAGCCUUCGGUAGAUGUGAUGAUCGAGAUUGAGGAUUGCAACGGAUACCCUUCGGGGCUACCUGUCUGAUCUCUGAUCGUUGCUCUGGUGCCGAAAGCUUGCUUACGGUUAUCGAAGUCGAUGGUCAAUAGGUUAGAACGGGUUAAAUUCGUUAAGGAUGUUGACGUAAUGGCUUUAAACGA